UACAGAGGGUGCGAGCGUUAAUCGGAGUUACUGGGCGUAAAGGGCGCGUAGGCGGUUAGUUAAGAUUGUUGUGAAAUCCCUGGGCUCAACCUAGGAACUGCAACGAUGACUGGCUAGCUAGAGUACUGUAGAGGGUAGUGGAAUUUCCGGUGUAGCGGUGAAAUGCGUAGAGAUCGGAAGGAACACCAGUGGCGAAGGCGGCUACCUGGACAGAUACUGACGCUGAGGCGCGAGAGCGUGGGGAGCAAACAGG
rnacentral:rRNA from 1 species